GAAAGUAUGUUGUUACAUGUCACUGAGCAUUUUUAAGGGAGUAUAUGGAAAUCCUGGAGCUUUCUUAGUGGGUAUACCAGGUAUACCUGCGUAUCACGUGGACUACAUCACUCUCUGCUAGAGAGCGGGUAAAGUAAAG